rnacentral:rRNA from 1 species
UACAGAGUCUCAAGCGUUGUUCGGAUUCAUUGGGCGUAAAGGGUGUGUAGGUGGCGCCGUAAGUCGGGUGUGAAAUCUCGGAGCUUAACUCCGAAACUGCAUUCGAUACUGCCGUGCUUGAGGACUGGAGAGGAGACUGGAAUUUACGGUGUAGCAGUGAAAUGCGUAGAGAUCGUAAGGAAGACCAGUGGCGAAGGCGGGUCUCUGGACAGUUCCUGACACUGAGGCACGAAGGCCCAGGGGAGCAAACGGG